UCUCUGACUUAUGCAAAUAAUGGUAAUCUCAAAAAACGAGCAAAAUAGGUAGAGCAAUGUAAUUGUUUAAUUCCGUAAUCUUCGGUAACCAACGACUUAAAUUCAACGCUUCAUUGGUUACAUGUACUACAUACCCUGCACAAUAAUGUAGUGGACCGUUGCGAAACCACGCCCUUCCAGGUCAAAUAAAAUGCACUGUAAUAAAUUUAGAUAUAAAAUGUUGUUAAAUAUAGCGCAUAACCAUUAACAGAUAAAUACCUAAAUAGGUACUUGCAGUUUACAUAAUCUUAUUUCCUUCACUAGUAAGAGUUAAGAAAAUGAGACCUAGACCGAAAGUGAUUCUUGUUGGUAUCCUGAUAAUAUGUGGAACUGUUGGAUCAUUUUUUUUAGUUAAAGCUGCUGGAUAUCUUAUAUCAGCGUUUACGUUUGGUUUGGACAUUUACGGAUUCACUGACAGCUUCGAUGAUGACAAAACGUACACAGACGACAGUAAGUACAAGGAUUUGGAAAAGGUGUUGUCUGACAAAAUUGAUACAUCUACACGUUCUAUAAUAGCAAACAUUGAUCUUCACGAUCAUUUUAAGCGUUUACUUGACAUAAGCGGAGUCACCAGUUCUUUAUUGGAUGAUUUUCGAAAUAUCAUUGACUCAAAAACGAAGGUAGCUAGAGAUGAAAACAUAAAAAGGUUUAAGGUAUAGGUCCAUGUUUCGGAGAAAAAAGUUCGAACGUCAUCAAAUCAUAGAAAGAAAGUAUUGUUUUACAUGAAAAUUUAACAGCGUAUAAAACAUUUAUAUUAUUCUACAAAACCAUUGUCAAUUUACUCAUAUAUGUAUUGAAUUCCGGAAAGGGACUGCAUGAAGGGGCCACACUUCUGGACAGUUCAGCGCCUUUAAAAACUCACCAUUAUUUAAAAGCUGUUUCAUGUCUUCGUUUUGAUGCAUUUGCAUCAUCGUGCGAGUGUUUAAACUUUACAUUACUAGGUAAAACAUCGUUUUUAACAAUUGUUUACAUUUAUUUCUUUACAAAUGGCAUUCUUAUUUAAAGGGGGACAACUCAUUUAGAAUAUUUUAAGUAUCCAACUCUGUGGGACAAAACAGUAAAACAUGUAUUGAACAGAUAAGUUGUGUGUCAAGAUGCUGUUCAUUUACUAAAAAAAUCUGUUGUUUUGUGAUAUACUGCUAAACCUUAAAGAAAAGUUCACAGUAAACGAAGUUAAUAUACAAAAUAUUGCCAGAGUACUGACUGCGAAGAUAUCUGUUAAUGGUCAGAAGAAACGUCUGAUAGACGUGUUCGUUGAAACGGUCGACUGUAGUCUAACAAGUCUGCAAGAGUUUAUGGUCUACUACAUGGAUCUCGUAUCAAGCGCUUUUGCAAUAGAUUUAACGAAUGAACGUUUCAGCGUUGUCGAUUUGUCAAACCAAACCAAGGAGUUUUGGACUGGCCAUGUGGAGAAGCUGGUUGCAGAAUUUGAAGCGAAGAAAAAUGGGUGUAUCGAUCACUUUCCUCAGCUUGUCAAAGACGACCUCGAGGGUGUUGAAAAUGCCAGUGAUCUUCAGAGUAAAAACGCACUUAGAUAUUCAGACAAACUGAAUAGUGUGAUAUUUGUCGGCAGUGACACUGACAGUCAGAUCAAGUAUUUGGAGCAUGAUGAUACUAUUUUCUUUAACACAACAACUGCAAAACAAAAAAUUGUAUUUUUCGAAAGGAAAAAUGAAACUAUUGAAACUCUCGGUCACAACUCAACAAAAGGCGAGGAUAACUAUACAAAAGCAUUUCCGACUACACUCAAUAUCUCAAACCUGGUGAGCAAAAUCAAAGAGAGAAACUGUGGUACGGAAACGAUUGGUGAAAUGAUAGACGAUAUGUUCUUCUGGCGAAGCUACAUCCUACGGUUCUGGUUGAUAAUGAAUCAUGAGUCACAAAAUGAAAUAGCCUUUGAUCAAAGUACCCGGACAGCUUAUAUUGUAGAAUGUGAAAAAGACAUUAUAAUAGCAGUUAAAGAAUGGAAAGCGGAAAAUGCUUUUAAUUCAGUUUACAAGACGAUGAAUAAGGACACAAGCGGUGUUGCUAUAGUAACUGUGCCUACAACCUUCAUACUUUGUUUGGUCAUUAGUUACCUUGUAGAAUUUAUUUCAUAAGAUGUCCUCUCAUUCUGUACUGGCAAUUAGGUGAUUUGUCAAUUUUCUUUACAUCGAACAUAAUCUUUUAUUGAACAAAAUAUGUAGACAACACUGCUGGCGGAAUUUGAUAAAACAAUGACCUUUCAAUAAAACUUUAUUGAAGAACCGAAACUGGAUACCUUUAAUACCAUGCAAUUGUAAUCCGAUGCAUAGUAUACAAAGUUCAUAGAAAUUAUACACUUAAUUCCUUUACAAUUAAGUGUAUUAUUUCUAUGAUAUGCGAAGCAAGACUUAUCCGCAGACUUAAUUUCUAUGCGAGCAUCUGCAAGCAUUAUAUUACAUGGCUGCAAUCUUUUUAAGAUUGCAGUAAGCUUACGCAUGCUUAUUACAAACUUCUCACAAUCUUGUCGCAUGCUUGUAUUUUGGUUUGGGCUAGCUCAUACUGAAAGGCGACGAUUAACCUUUAACCUGCUGCAGGCAAUAGAUUCUGCCUUUUCGACCAGUGCAGGCUGAUUAUGGUCUGCACUGUUCGCUUUUCAGUCUGUAAAUAUUCAGUGGACAUUCCUUCAAAUAGUAAGUGGUACUGUCUAUAUUGAAUGAUUGAACUGUCCAUGUUAGUAAUUUAGCAGGCUAAAGGUUAAGCUAGUGGUAAGAUACAGGUAUUCUGUAUUAACAUGUGAACAAAUAGGCAUACUAAACAUUAUGACAUUGGUAUGAAUAUAUUUAUAGUAUUUUGCAUUGUUAGGGCGUCAAACAAAUGAAAUACAGAAGAUGAAAUCCUUAUACAAUUUUUCUGAUACAAUCAGUAAUUCCUCGGUGAAACGUUAGCGCGCUCUGUUUCAGACACGUGCUCAGUACAUUUUUCGUGAAUUCGAUUCCUAGAGCAAUAUUAACUGAUAUGAAGAUUAAUCAUGUUUGUUUUCGAUCCAGUUUUUACAGCAGUAAAAUAUUUCUUUUAAUAGAAAAUAAAAACACGUUAUUACAUCAAAAUACACGUCGCUAUUUUAAUUUGUAAUUUGUUACUUCUUGUGAUAUCGUAAAGCAAAAGGAGCUUAUCUUAAAGUAGUUAUUUUAUACAUACAGUGAUAUUAAACUGUUUUUAAUAUGUAAGCUUGUACAUAUUUCAUAAUAUAUACUCCAAACCUUGUGUCAGUUACUUCAAAAUGUAAUUAAUUAAAUUGCAAUUACAUUGUGAAAUGUCAAAUUAACUUACAAUAACCAUUACAUGAAAUUUUCCAAUGGAAUUAAUUAAAUUACAAUUAAAUUGCAAAUUGUAAUAAUUACAUUCAAUUACAAUACCAAAUGUGGUAACAACCUAACAUGCUUCUUACAUGAACACUGUAGCAAAGUUCUUUACUUUGUACUACAUAUAUAAACUGAUUUCAGUAAUUUCAAAAUUGAAUUUAUGCUCAAAGUAAAAUGUAUGUUUGCGGGAGAACAUUUCUAAGCCCUUAAUAUUGCAAAAGAAGCUAAUAAUCAGCCCUUAAUUAUUAUUCAAUACAUUGUCAAGCAAAAUUCAGUUAGAGAAAAUGCAUGUAAAGCCAAGUAUUUCUACGAGAUCUGAAUUUCUCUGAAGUUUAUACGAUCAUGGUUCUGCAGUAUGUUUCACAUUAAGCUAGUAUAGUUCAGUAUUCAAUCAUUUACAUUUUAAUCAUGUAUUUAAAGUUUGUAUCCUUGACACUACAUGUUAUCAAAAGGAUACCAUUGGAAAUAAGUUGUAAAACAUUCUUGAGCCAUCCUAGAAUAACUAUGUCACUAAAACUAUAGAAUACUCCUAAUACCUACAAUAAUAAUUAUGUUUUUUUAUCUUGUUAGAACUGUGAUGUGAAAUGUUAUGUUGUUUGUAUCAUUUAAUACGACAUAUUUUAUCACAGAUAAAAAAUGAUUAAACUGAAUGCAAAGCUUUUCAGUUUUUGCUCCGAUAAAAAUCAAAAUAAUAAUGAUGCAAAUAACAAUUUCAAUAACUUGAUCAUUUUCUUCAAACACAUAGUGAAAAACAUCAUCAAAACAGUUGGCUCUAUGCUAAUAAAACAAUUAUAUCAGAACAAAGGAGCUAUGUCCAAAGGAUUAACACCUACCAAAAUAAUCUAUUAUUAUUUUUCACAUCUAUGAAAUGCAAAUUAGCAUGUUUAAGAGAAGUGUCACUGGUAAUAUUGUUCAACAAACUGAAAUAAAGCAUGUGCCAUGUAACUGGAAAGUUACUGAAAUAUAAUCGUCAAUUAUUGAUUAAAUUACAAUUACAUGUAGUUAACACAUGCCCCAAUUACAAAUUACAUUCAAUUACUUAGGGAAUGUAAUUUAAUUGCAUUUAAUUACGGUUACAUUUUUAAUUACCACAGGUCUGAUAGUCUCUUUAUUGCCUCUUUCGCAGCAAUAUGCCGCUUUUUGCAAUGUCAGAAUCUGGUAAUGUGAAAAUAUUUGUAAACUACUGGUACAUGAGAAGUAGAAUUACAGAUCUGUAAAUGCGUGUAUCAUUUAUUUAAAUUUAAAAAUAUUAAAAUAAAACUGAUAUUGUUCAUAUUAUUCUCAUUAUGUAAUUUUGUUUGUUAAUAGCGCUACCCAUGUAUUUAUGCAAUUAUUAUAUAAGGAUCUUAUAUGACUGGCUGUGUAAGAUGGGUUAGCAAUGAGUGGAAAGCCGAGUGCUACUGAGUUAUUUUAUCCACGCUGUCGCGAGGUUUGGGAAAGCACCUGCCUUACUCAGGCAUUCGUCUUAGAUAUUUUUUCUUGCCUACCUUAGAUAUUAUUGCAAUAUUUACAAAGAUAUUAUAAAUAAAAAUGCACUAUGACGUCAUAGUAUGACGCCAAUAUGUGCACGUGAGAAAGAUAAGCAAGGUUAUUGUCUUAGGAGAUCAGUGUAUGAGCGACUUUUGAUUUACAUCUUUGAAACUGAUGCAAUGGCAUUAACAGUAGGCACGCAAAAUAAUCUAACAUGAUGUCUGCCUUAGUUCACGUUUUCCCUCGGGUGUGAGAAAACCCUGUCUUACACAGGCAGGCAUUCAAUUGUGAUGCACAAUCAUAAUACUUUUUCUUCUUUCUGAACUUGAAACAGAAACAUAUUAUGCAUGUUAUUCUUAUUUUUGUCUUUUGCAAAAUUUGUUGAUGUAUAUAUAUAUAUAUAUAUAUUUUUUUUUUACCCUGGAUCGUACACUUCCAAUAAUCAUCCGCAUAUCAUGUGAAUAUUUGAAUAUACUCUAUUCUCAAACAUACGAUUAAACAUUGUACGUAAAAUCAUUGGUAUCAAUAAAGAAAUCGGCCACAUUUUAUUAUGAUAUCGACUUUUAUGACGUUUAAUACUGCAAUCUGUUCUCAAUUACAAGCUGUCUUUGUGUUUUUCAAAAGAUAUUUUGAAGAUUUGGAAAUAUAGACAACUCUCGAAAACAUUAAUCACGCAAUUGAAUUUAGCAUAAUACGGCCUUAAGAUUUAUUUCAAAACAUAGAGAAACUUGAAUAUUGCAAAUUGAAUAUGGCAAAACCUUGUAAUUUAUAAGCCUUUGAAACACACAGACAAAUCUCAAAAGUAUUAAUCACUCAAUGUAAAUGUUUUGUCAGUUGGAAGAAAAUAAAUAUAGCUAAGUUUUAUUACACUGUGAACUUGAUUAUAACAAAAGAUAAAAGAUCACCCCUAACACAACCAUAGAGCCAUGCACCGCAAAGUAGGUCCAAAACGAAAAAAAGUUGUAACGGAAAAAUAUUUCAGACGGAUUGCUUCAAAAAUCGAACAACAAGUACAUUUUAAUUAUAGACACAAUGCAGAAAAAGGGGAGGGGUAAGCAGUAGAUAAAAGGGUCGGGUGUUGAGUGGAAAAUUGGAGCAAGGAUAAAUAUUCAACAUGGAAAGCAACGUUCCUUAAAGCAGUCUUCAUACAUCGUAAAGCGCAGCAGAGCAGACACGCACAUACAAAAUACAAACGCACACACAACAAACAAAAACAUAUUUUGCUGCUCUUUUUCUAUGUAAAAUUCGUUAUUCAUGUAUACAAUAUCUCUUUUGAUAUGAAUCGUUUUUAGAAAAAGAUGUUUGUUGUAGAUAUCUCGUAAUGCAAUUUGAUGAAAACAAGACAGAAGAGUUUGAAAAUUUCUAGAAAAUAUUGCAUCAGAAAACAUGCAUUGGUUAUAUCUUACGUUCUUAUGCUAAACAUGUUCCUUCGAAUAACAUGAAUAUUGCUUUAUUGAGCAUCUGUAUAGCUGUAUAAAACCUAAAAGAUUAAUUGCAGGAAUACGUUUUUUUUUCUAUUAUUUAUAUUCUACAACAAAGAUAAGUUCAGUUUAUUCAAUACACACUUCACAUAAUCUUACAUUGAAAGUGUACUGUAAAUAAUUUCCCAGGCAUGCAGAACUUUAGAGGAAUAGGUCUUGCGAAGAGAUAAUUCUACCUGGAUUAACUUGAAACUGACCCAUUUAAUGAUAUCAUAUAGUGUUAAGUACCUUAUACAUUUAUUUCCUGAAAAGCUAUCUUUCGAAAUAAUAAAAAUCGUGUGCAAUUUUCAGUUCCUCUAAAAAUUCCUUUAUGUAAGCCUUUCAUUAACUGCCUUAUUUUUCUUUUAUUUACAAUAUCAUUUUUUGAAUGUCACAUUUUAAUAACUUCUCCUACCAGCUGAAUAAUCCUAAAGAGUAUCAAAUAUAGUUGCCGGUUUCUGCCUGCACCUAAUUACGAAUCUUCGACAAUCUCAGCAAACUUCGAAGAGAAUUAAAAACGUAAAGUGUUGCUGACGCACUUGUUAACAGAGUAAAUAACAUGCAGAAACAAUAACUAAUUAAUUAAAUAUGUCUGAAUGAAAGUAGGCAUCUUCAACGUAUAAACCAUUGACAAAAUGAUUGGUUCCAAAAGCUGUGUAACUAUUGUAAAUAACAUAUUCAUGUUUGUUUUGUUGUUAUUUUUACAGCAUUUGUAGAAGCAGUCGCUCUUAUUCUUGAAGGAGUUCAUUUAGUUGGUAAAUCGAUGGUAUGAAAGUUCUUUAUUCACAACUAAUUUUGGUUUUUACUUGCUGACUGUUUCGGACAGUCCUCUGUCCUUCAUCACGAGCACUGUCUUUCGGUCAUCUUCUACUGUUUCCGCCACUGCACGGGUGAGCGGCGAAAACGGAAUCAUUCCAACCUCACAAAGGAGGAGAGAAAUGCCCUAAAAGAACUGUCCAAGGACGACCAAACCAUGAUCCUCCUGGCCGACAAAGUAAAGGCUACGAUUGUCAUGAACAAGGAUGAGUAAGAGUCGAAAGUUAAUGACAUGUUGUCUGACGAUAGGACCUAUGAAAAGUUAAAUAAGGAUCCUACUGCAUCAUACAAGCGUCAGCUGAUUGGAAUUCUGACUAGGCUUAAAAGAGAGAAAAAGAUUGACGAGAAACAGUACAGGUAUCUUUAUCCAGUUUCGGAAACUAUACCCCGUAUGUAUUGCACUCCCAAAAUACAUAAGCCAGGAAACCCCUUAUGUUCAAUUGUUGACUAGUGUGGCUCCAUAGGGUACAAUACCUCUCGAGCAUUAGCAGACGUGUUAGGUCCAAUAGUAGGGGAAACGCAGCACCACGUGAAAAACUCCAAAAACUUGUCUGACUCUCUUGCAUUUGUCAUGAUACAGGAAGUUGAGACUUUCGCAUCCAACGACGUGGUAUCGUUGUUCACGAACACGCCCAUUGAGAAAGCCAUUUCAGUGAUUUCAGACAGACUUGAAAAAGGUAACACCUUGAAAGACCGUACACAUUUGUCAGUGCCGGACAUUAUGGAGUUAUGCAAGUUCAUACUCACCACAACUUACUUUCAAUUUAAGGAAGUAAUAUAUAGACAAAAAUUUGGGACGGCCAUGGGGAGCCCAGUAUCACCCAUUGUAGCCAACAUAUACAUGGGAGUACUUGGAGCAGCAGGCUAUAGCCACAUCCCCACUGGAUUGUCGGCCCACGCUAUGGAAGCGAUAUGUUGAUGACGUCCUAGAACGCAUCAAAAAGGGACAAUUGCAAAAUAUCACAGACCAUCUGAAUACAGUCGAUAGUACCGGGAGUAUAAAGUUUACUCACAAAGAGGAAAAGGAUGGAACAACUGCGUUCUUGGACACACUAAUAGUGCACAAGGGUGAUGGAAGUGUCAAGUUACUUGUAUACCGCAAAAGUACUCACACCGACCAGUACCUUAGUUAUCACUCACACCACCCUCUCCAUCAAAAACUAGGUGUCAUACGUACAUUAAUAGAGAGAUGUUUUACAAUUGUGACGGAGGAGAAAGAUAGAUCGGAUGAGGAAAAACAUAUCAGAACAACACAAGGAAAGUGUGGAUAUCUAAAAUGGACAUUUGAUUAAGUGAAGCGUUCACUACAAAACAAGAGAGACGAUAAGAAAAAGAAACAAAAGAAGAAGGACAAUUCAGACACCAAAUCGCGUGGACUCGUGGUACUCCCAUACGUACAAGGGAUUUCCGAGGCAAUAGAGAGAACAUUCCGGAAACACAAAGUUUCAACGGCAAUGAAGCCACACAAGACUAUAAGAUCCUUGCUUGUGCACCCGAAAGAUAAAACAAAAUAUAGUGAAAAAUGUGAAGUAGUGUACAAAAUAGAAUGUAUUGUGAUGAGGUAUACAUCGGUGAGACUUGGAGAAAGUUUGAGACCAGAUUGAAGGAAGAUAUGAGAGAUACACAACAACAUGAAAGAUCCAAUUUCACAAGAUCAGAAAGGAAGAAUUCACUGCCUCAGUACAACAAAAGUACAAUUACGGAUCAUGUGACUCAGAAAAAUCACGUCAUAAGCUGGAAGGGGGCGAGGACAGUGGAUAGGGAGAGUGACACCCGAACUCGACAAGUAUAAGAGGCAAUACAUAUCAAGCGCCAAUCUUCGACUAUGAACCAUGACGAGAGGGUGUACAAGCUUGCAAGCGUCUACGAUUCCGUUUUCGCCGUUCAUCCGUGCAGUGGCGGAAACAGUCGAAGAUGACCGGAAGUCAGUUCUCGUGAUGAAGGACAGAGAACUGUCCGAAACAGUCAGCAGGUAAAACCCAAAAUUACUUGUGAAUAAAGAACUUUCAUUCCGCAGUCGCUCUUAGUUUUCAGACUAUCGAAAGUCUGACCAGGGAACAUAAUCAAAUAAAACAUUCGUUUACCGUGCUUGAUCACAUAUUUUUCAUUCUCACUACUACCGGUAUUCAGUGUUAUUUGAUUUUUAUUUAAUAAUACAUGUAGUGCAGUAGUAUACAUCGGCUGAAUGGAAAUGUAUUUCAGGUUCACGAUAUUUCUUAUAAAUGAUUAAUUAUAACGUGGCAUUUAUAAGAAAGAUACAGUGGUUUGGGGUAUAGGGAAAGCAAACAAACUUUUCCUACGAAAAUAAAGUUAGUAGGGUUUUUUUUUUUUUGGUUAUUUUUUCAUGUAUGUUAGAAUAGAAGUGUAUAUUCUUUUCAAAACAUUUAGCAUUUAAUAAAAAUUCAUGUGUUUUCACUCCUUGGCAUUGUUUACAUACGCUCUGAUUUAGUGUGUAGGGGAUAGCUUUGGUUUUUUUACAGUUAUUGUGAUAAAUACUUAAAUUUCUAUCCAAUACUUUUCAUUCACUGAUGUUUACUACAAACACAUUGAUUAAGUCAGUAAAGCAUACGUUGACAUGUGCACAAUAACACCAGAAACAAACAUUUAAGACAUUCAGAACGUCUGUCACAGGGGCAAAAACAUUUUCAAAAUGACUUUUUGGCAUUUUUAGCUCACCUGUCACGUAGUGACAGAGCGAGCUUUUAUGAUCGCCCUUCGUUCGUCGUCCGUCCGUCCACAAUUUCCUUGUGAACACGAUAGAGACCACAUUAUGUAUUUGAUUUUAAUCAAACUUACACACAACUUGUACGGGCAUAAUAUCUCGGUUCCAUUCGAAAACUGGCCAGAUCCCAUCAUGGGUUCUAGAGGUAUGGCUCCUUAAAGGGUCAAACUUGCCAUUUUUGGCUUGUGAACACGAUAGAGACUACAUUUUAUUUAUCAAUUGUACUCAAAUUUGCACAUAAACUUGUAUUGGCAUGAUAUCUCGGUUCCUUUCGGAAACUGGCGAGAUCCCAUCAUGGGUUCAAGAGGUAUGGCCCCUUGAAGGGCCAAACAUUACUAUUUUUGAUUUGUGAACACGAUAGAGACCAUAUUUUGCAAUCAACUUUACCCAAAUCUGCACAUAAACUUGUAUUGGCAUAAUAUCUCGGUUCCUUUUGAAGACUGGCCAGAUCCCAUCAUGGGCUGCAGAGUUAUGGUCCAUUAAAGAGCCAAACAUUUGUUAUUUCUAGCUUGUGAACACGAUAGAGACAGCAUUUUGCAAUCGAAUAUAAUCAAACUUGCAUAUAACUUGUGUUGGCAUAAUAUCUCGAUUUCUUUCCGAAACUGGCUAGAUCCCAUCAUGGGAUCCAGAGUUAUGGCCCCUUGAUGGGCCAAAAUUUGCUAUUUUGGCUUUUGCAGCCAUAUAGAGACUUCAUUUACGGUUUGAUUUGAUACAAACUUGUAAAAUAUUUUCAACACAAUAACUCUUGGAUUUCAUAAUGAAUCUGUCAGAUCCAAUCAUAGGUUCUGGAGUUAUAGUCCCUGAUUGACCCCUGAAAGGGCCAAAACUUGGUAAUUUUUACCUUGUGAAUACGACAGAAGUAACAUUUUAGAUUUGCUUUUAACCACAUUUACAAACAACCUAAAUCACCAUAAGAUCUCGGUUUCUUUCGAAAACCGACUAGAUUCUGUCAUAGGUUCUAGAGUUACUGCACAUGAAAGGGGCAAAUUUUCUAUUUUGGCACUUUCAGCCAUAAAGAGGUUUCAUUUAUGUUUUGAUCUGAUACAAACUUGCAUAGAAUGAUUGUCUUGAUGAUCUCUAGGCCUGGAUUGAAACUGGGUCAUGUCGGGUCAAAAACUAUGUCAUCAGGUCAAAUCAAAGGUAAAGAUUGUUAACAACCUAGAGGCCAUAUUUAUGAUCCUAUCUUCAUGAAACUUGGUCAGAAUGUUUAUCUUGAUGAUUUCUAGGUCAAGUUUGAAACUGGGUCAUAUGGGGCCACAAACUAGGUCAUCAGAUCUAAUAAAAGGAAAAGCUUGUUAGCACUCUUCAGAGGUAAAGAUUGUUAACAACCUAGAGACCACAUUUAUGACCCUAUCUUUAUGAAACUUGGUCAGAAUGUUUAUCUUGAUGAUUCUUAGGCCUAGUUUGAAACUGGGUCAUAUGGGGUCAAAAACUAGGUCACCUAGUCAAAUCAAAGGAAAAGCUUGUUUCCACUCUGUUUGCAUGAAAUAUCGGAUGAAUUUUUAUUUGGGUCAUGUGGAGAUAAAAACUAGGUCAGCAGGUCAAAUCAAAGAAAAAGCUUGUUUACACCAAAGGGGGCAGAUAUUUUGAUUCUAUCUUCAUGAAAUUUGGUCAGAAUAUUUGUUAUCAUGAAGUCUUGGCCGAUUUCAAAUCUGGGUCAGAUGGGUCCGAAACUUGGUCAAAUUAUAGGAAAAGCUUGUUUACACUCACGUUUUUUGGUCCAAUCUUAAUGAAAAUUGGUCAGAAUAUUUGUCUUCAUGAAAUCACUAAGUAAAACGUGUUUACACUGUUAUGGUGUGUUACACAGGUGAGCGACCUAUGGCCAUCUUGGCCCUCUUGUUUCUGAGAAAACAUUAUAACUGUAAUCCGAGGUACGUUACUGCCACCUGUGAUUAAAAACAAAGAACGCUAAUGCGUUUGAAGAUUCUAAGAUAAUUUUUGUUUUAUUCAAUUUAUCUAAAGGUCAGUGGGACUACCAUGACUGGCGUGGCCCAUUAUUUAAAUUUUCAGAAAAUGAUGUUUUUUAUAUUUGAUUAUCUGUAAUUUAUUAAUGAAAAUAGACAUUCUACGUAUCUAAGUGCCUUUUCAUUAUUUUCAGACGGCAGAUAACUUUUACACUGGAAAAAUCAAGAUCUCAAUAAUAAUUUAUUGCUAAUUUUCUAACUCCUUAAUAUUUUCAGAAAAUAUUUAGUUUUGAUAGAAGAGACACUGUAUUCAUUAUUAAUGUAUCAAUCGUAUGUUCACUUGUUCAUUUAAAAUACAAAAUAUAAAUAUUUUGGAUAUAUGUUAGAUAUAAUCUACUCUUUCUGUGAAAGAGCAUGCUAUAUAUGUUGUUUAGAAUUUGCAUAGUUACAUAAAUCACUCAGUUGUUGGAAAUAAUAUAUGCUGUACAUCACCUGAAAUUCAAAAUUUAUUUCAUAUUGUUGUAAAAAUGGACUUUUACUACAUGAAAUUUGACAAUAUACUGUUUUAGUAUUGCAUAACAUUAUUCAAUAGCUUAUAAGUAUGUUUUUUAUUGAAUGAAAAGUCACCGGUACUUUUAGUCUGUCCUUAUUGUUACAAACUUAAUAGUAUUUUAUAUCAUUGUAUAUUUCUUUUUAUUUUCACCAUCUUUUUCAGCAUGACUAAUUUCGAACAAAAAAUGAGCAUGUUAACAAUGAUCUGGUCAUAGGUAGCUUGUAAAAUCAAUGUUGGAUGGCUGAUCAGAAAGAGGCUGACCAAUCAGAAUGUACUUUUUAUCUCUUACAGAAGAAACGCAUUCAGGGAUAAUUUCAAUUUUAUGUAAAGUAAAUUUGGACUGACAACAUUAAAAAGCUUUUUUUACGGUUUAGUAAUUAAUAUCUGAUUAUUUCAUGGCUAUUUAUCCAAUCUGAGAGGUUUACCAAUUUCAUUGUAACUGUUCUAAAUUUAGUCAUUUAUUUUUCUUCUGUUUAUUUUUUGGCAGAAUUUUUAAAAAGUAUUCUUAUUAUUCAUUAAGCUGCUUUAUUAUAUCUUGUAUAUUUAGAUCACUUUGUGAAAAAUAGUAAAACAUUUGGUUGAGGUUAGAUUUUUUCAUAAAGAUCUCCUGUUAUAAUAUAUUCGAUAUAUUCUGUACAAAUCAUAAUUUGUUAUGUGAUAAAGCAGUUUGUUGUGUACAUUUAUUAGUUUGUCCGGCACAUAUCUUAGUUUUUGUUGUGCAUUCAGUAGUUUGUGCUGACCAAUUAGUUUGUUUUGUGGAUCUGGCAGUCUGUUCUAAAUAGUAAAUAGUUCGUCAUGUGCAUUUAGCAAUAUAUUCGGUACACUUAUAUUUAUAUAACAAAUUAUGAUUUGUACCGAAUAAAUUGGAAAAUGCACAUGACCAACCAUUAAUUGUACAGAACAAACUAGUCAGUGCACAGCACAAAAUGAGAUAUGUACAUGACAAACUAAUCAAUGUACAUAACAAACUGUUUUAUCUGCAAAAACCAGCAAAAGCACAUGUCAAGGCAGUCUACGCGUUCCAUACACAAGCGUGAUUAAUUUACUUAGUAUUGGUGUAUUCCACUAUAUAAGAGUGUGUCAAAAGAGUGCUAUAUGUGACGCCAUCUGCAAGUUCGUUGUCGUACAAGCUGCUCGUAUACACAAACUGUAUGACAUGCUUUGUUCGUUGAUAAACGCAUAAUUAUCCUAUAAACGAUCAUGGUUCUCCAGUGUUUUUGCAUGUUCUAGAAAAACUCGUCUAACAACCAGGCGUGUAUGAUGAUUCAUGUGCUGUAAUUUAAGAAUGAAAGUUUUCGUUCUAUUAUUAUGUCUCUUCUAUUAAAUGAAAAAUAUGCAAAAUAAAAAUCUAACCUCAUUUCGUUGAAGGUGCGGAUGGAAAUUUCAUACUCUCCGGUAACUGUUAAGCGUAAACCAGUUAUUUCCACCGCAUCUUCAACCUAUAAACUGUUACCAUUUACUACUGAAAUUUGUUCCCAAACCUGUGUCACUUUAUCGAGGGCUUGGUGCAAAACUGUUGUAAGUGUAUAUAAUUAAAGAACAAGAUACAAUAGUUUUGCGCCAAGCCCUCGAUAUAUAUUGCUUUAUUUUGUAAAUAUUGUAUUCAUGUGUUUCUGUAGCAUCUUUAGAAGCCGUUGCUGCUUUGUUUUCAGAUUUUCAAAAGUCUUACCAGGGUGAACAUUUAUUUAACGCGCUUGAUCACCUUUUUUUAUUCUCACUACUGUUCAGUAUUCUAUUGAUUAAAUGAUACCUGUAGUGUAGUAGUCUAUAUCGAUUAAAUGGAAAUGUAUUUUUAUGUUAACAAUACAGAACGAGCUACCCGAGUCAAGUGGUAUAAACCUAAACUUAGUAACAAAACACGGAAAUUCCUAUUCUAAAAUAACAAAAAUAAAGCUAUUAUUAAUAUUAUAAAUUGCGCUUCAAGUAACUAUAAAUAACGGAUAUAGAGCAAAGGACGAGGCCACCACAACUUACCCAUUAUAUAUAUAUAUAUAUAUAUAUGAGCCGUGCCAUGAGAAAACCAACACAGUGGGUUUGCGACCAGCAUGGAUCCAGACCAGCCUGCGCAUCCGCGCAGUCUGGUCGGGAUCCAUGCUGUUCGCUUUUAAAGCCUAUUGGAAUUGGAGAAACUGUUAGCGAACAGCAUGGAUCCUGGCUGGUCGCAAACCCACUAUGUUGGUUUUCUCAUGGCAUGGCUCAUAUAAUCUGAAUCUGAUGUCUCAUUAUCUAUCACUUGUAUAUGAAAAUAUAAAAAAAAUGGGCAUACUACAUAUUUAAGCAGCUUUUUAGAGUUUUCAGACGGUAAAUGUUCUAAUAAAUUAAUUUCACAUUGUAAAUAUCAAAAGCUCUAAUGAUCACAAUGAUAAUUUUUAUAUUAGAUACUGAUGUUCUUAUUCUUUAAUAUUUUCAGAAAGUAUUAGUAUUUCGUCAUUUAAAAUAAAGAAAAAUAUAUACGUUACUCCUAUGAAAGAGAUAUUAUACUACUAUAAUUUUUGUAGUUACAUAAAUCACUCAUUUGUGGAAAUAAUAUAUGCCGUACAUUACCUGAAGUGCCAACCUUGUUCUAUAUUGUUGUAAAGUUGGACUUUUACAACAUAGAAUUAUACAAUUUAUGGUUUAGUAUUACUUAUCAUUAUUCAAUAUCUUAUAUAUUUCAUAUUAAAUGAUAUACAGUACAGGCUUAAAACGCGUUGCCUUUGAGCUAGUUUUUUAAGGGACUGAGAUCGUCUAUUACGGGCAGCUCAUUCUUUUUAUUACAUUCAUCAUAUUCUUGAAACAAAUGUUAAGUAUAUUUAUUUCUGAUACCUUAUUAUUUACUUAAAGUUAAUAGUUAUUGGUACUUUCAGUUUGUCUUUAUUGUUACAAACUUAGUAGUAAAUAAUUGUAUAUAUUGUUUCAUCACUGAUCUUGAGUAGGACCAAUUAUAAAAGAAAUCAGAGCAUGUAAACAACGAUUAGUCAUAAACGAUUUGUAAAAUCAAUUUUGGAUUGCUUGUCAAAGAAGGUGUGCUUUAUAUCCUUUGUAAUACAGUCAGAGAGCAUUUAACAAAGCCAUUCUUUUACACAGUUUAGACGUUUUGGACUGACAAAUUCUUUUGUAUUUAUUUUUUUGGCCAUAUAUCUUAUCUCAGAAAAUUCAUUGUAAAUUUUCUAAAAUUAAUUAGAAUGUGUUUUUUUUUCAGUUAAAUACCUAAAAUUCUAUUGUUUUAACGGCAGCUUCUGUAGUUACCUUUAAAUACUUUACUUAUAAUAAGUAAAUAAUUUACAUUGUUGUUAUUUUUCAGCGCAGAGUCACGCAAGCUCAGAGUUUCAAAAAUACAUUUUAAUUGUAAUACUUAUUUACUUUUGGCAGAACUUGAAACUUUAUUGUUUUUAUUCCUUUAGCUUAUUUAUCAACUUUAUCAGAAUUGUAUGGCAUUUUAAAACUUGUAUAUUUAGGUUACUUUGUAAAUUAUUUGUUUAGAAAGUUAAGUAAAAUGUGCUUGGUUUCAAAUUUA